rnacentral:rRNA from 1 species
GCAGUAGCCACGGGAAUACGUAGGUGGCAAGCGUUGUCCGGAAUUAUUGGGCGUAAAGCGCGCGCAGGCGGAUAGGUCAGUCUGUCUUAAAAGUUCGGGGCUUAACCCCGUGAUGGGAUGGAAACUGCCAAUCUAGAGUAUCGGAGAGGAAAGUGGAAUUCCUAGUGUAGCGGUGAGAUGCGUAGAUAUUAGGAAGAACACCAGUGGCGAAGGCGACUUUCUGGACGAAAACUGACGCUGGGGCGCGAAAGCCAGGGGAGCGAACGGGAUUAGAUACCCCAGUAGUCCCUGUCUCUUAUACA